rnacentral:rRNA from 1 species
UACAGAGGUCUCAAGCGUUGUUCGGAUUCAUUGGGCGUAAAGGGUGCGUAGGCGGCCUGGCGCGUCGGCUGUGAAAUCUCCCGGCUCAACUGGGAGGGGACGGCCGAUACGGCUGGGCUUGAGCGAGGUAGGGGAGAGUGGAAUUCCCGGUGUAGUGGUGGAAUGCGCAGAUAUCAGGAGGAACACCGGUGGCGAAGGCGCCACUCUGGGCCGGUACUGACGCUGAGGAGCGAAAGCGUGGGUAGCAAACAGG